rnacentral:rRNA from 1 species
CCAAAUACCAAGGCGAUCGGGUGAACUGUGGUUAAGGAACUCGGCAAAUUGCCCCCGUAACUUCGGGAGAAGGGGGACCUCUGUUGGUGAUGGGCUUUACGCCUGGAGCUGGUGGGGGUCGCAGUGGCCAGGGGGAAGCGACUGUUUACUAAAAACACAGGUCCGUGCGAAGUCGUAAGACGAUGUAUACGGACUGACGCCUGCCCGGUGCCGGAACGUUAAGGGGACCGCUUAGCCGACGUGAGUUGGCGAAGGUGAGAACUUAAGCGCCGGUAAACGGCGGUGGUAACUAUAACCAUCCUAAGGUAGCGAAAUUCCUUGUCGGGUAAGUUCCGACCUGAACGAAUGGCGUAACGACUUCCCCGCUGUCUCAACCGCAGACCCGGCGAAAUUGCACUACGAGUAAAGAUGCUCGUUUCGCGCAGCAGGACGGAAAGACCCCGGGACCUUCACUACAGCUUGACAUUGGCGUUUGGAACGUCUUGUGUAGGAUAGGUGGGAGACUGGGAAGCUGUCACGCUAGUGAUGGUGGAGUCAUUGGUGAAAUACCACUCUGGUCGUUUUGAACGUCUAACUCUGGUCCGUGAUCCGGAUCGGGGACAGUGUCUGGUGGGUAGUUUAACUGGGGCGGUUGCCUCCUAAAGAGUAACGGAGGCGCCCAAAGGUUCCCUCAGCCUGGUUGGCAAUCAGGUGUUGAGUGUAAGUGCACAAGGGAGCUUGACUGUGAGACUGACAGGUCGAGCAGGAGCGAAAGCUGGGACUAGUGAUCCGGCAUCGGCGUGUGGAAGCGGUGUCGCUCAACGGCUAAAAGGUACCCCGGGGAUAACAGGCUGAUCUUCCCCAAGAGUCCAUAUCGACGGGAUGGUUUGGCACCUCGAUGUCGGCUCGUCGCAUCCUGGGGCUGGAGUAAGUCCCAAGGGUUGGGCUGUUCGCCCAUUAAAGCGGUACGCGAGCUGGGUUUAGAACGUCGCGAGACAGUUCGGUCCCUAUCCGCUGCGCGCGCAGGAGACUUGAAGGGGGCUGUCCCUAGUACGAGAGGACCGGGACGGACGAACCUCUGGUGUGCCAGUUGUACCGCCAGGUGCACGGCUGGUUGGCUACGUUCGGAAGGGAUAACCGCUGAAAGCAUCUAAGCGGGAAGCUCGCCUUGAGAUGAGGUCUCCCACCACGAGAGUGGGUAAGGCUCCCGGUAGACGACCGGGUUGAUAGGCCGGAGGUGGAAGCACGGUAACGUGUGGAGCUGACCGGUACUAAUAGGCCGAGGACUUGACCAA